rnacentral:rRNA from 1 species
AACGAACGCUGGCGGCAGGCCUAACACAUGCAAGUCGAGCGAGCAUUUCGGUGCUAGCGGCGGACGGGUGAGUAACGCGUGGGAACGUGCCCUUUUCUGCGGAAUAGUCCUGGGAAACUGGGGGUAAUACCGCAUACGCCCUUUUGGGGAAAGAUUUAUCGGAGAAGGAUCGGCCCGCGUUGGAUUAGGUAGUUGGUGGGGUAAUGGCCCACCAAGCCGACGAUCCAUAGCUGGUUUGAGAGGAUGAUCAGCCACACUGGGACUGAGACACGGCCCAGACUCCUACGGGAAGCAGCAGUGGGGAAUCUUAGACAAUGGGGGCAACCCUGAUCGAGCCAUGCCGCGUGAGUGAUGAAGGCCUUAGGGUUGUAAAGCUCUUUCAGCUGGGAAGAUAAUGACGGUACCAGCAGAAGAAGCCCCGGCUAACUCCGUG